rnacentral:rRNA from 1 species
GCAGCAGCCGCGGUAAUACGUAGGUGGCAAGCGUUGUCCGGAAUUAUUGGGCGUAAAGGGCUCGCAGGCGGUUUCUUAAGUCUGAUGUGAAAGCCCCCGGCUCAACCGGGGAGGGUCAUUGGAAACUGGGAAACUUGAGUGCAGAAGAGGAGAGUGGAAUUCCAUGUGUAGCGGUGAAAUGCGUAGAGAUGUGGAGGAACACCAGUGGCGAAGGCGACUCUCUGGUCUGUAACUGACGCUGAGGAGCGAAAGCGUGGGGAGCGAACAGGAUUAGAUACCCCAGUAGUCCCUGUCUCUUAUAC